GCCCGAGUGGCUCGGUCGGUUAAGUGUCCGACUUUGGCUCAGGUCAUGAUCUCCCGGUUCGUGGGUUCAAGCCCCGCUUCGGGCU
rfam:Felis catus isolate Cinnamon breed Abyssinian chromosome D4, whole genome shotgun sequence.